UGACUGAUGUAGCAUUAAGUGACUUACUU
rnacentral:piRNA from 1 species